rnacentral:rRNA from 1 species
UACGGAGGGUGCAAGCGUUAAUCGGAAUUACUGGGCGUAAAGCGCACGCAGGUGGCUGAGAAAGUCGAUUGUGAAAGCCCUGGGCUUAACCUGGGAAUUGCAGUCGAAACUACUCGGCUAGAGUAUGGGAGAGGACAGUGGAAUUCCCGGUGUAGCGGUGAAAUGCGUAGAUAUCGGGAAGAACAUCGGUGGCGAAAGCGCUCUACUGGACCGCAACUGACACUCAGGGACGAAAGCUAGGGGAGCGAAUGGG